UACCUCAUUGAUUGGAAGGGUUUCCUUCCGGUCAAUGAGGAUGUACCUCGUUGAUCGGAGGAAACCCUUCUGAUCAACGAGGCACCUUGGAUUUCCUUACGGCAAACGAGGCACAUGUACCUCAUUGACCAGAAGGAAACCCUUCCAAUCAAUGAGGUA
rnacentral:miRNA from 1 species